UCUCCUGGAGCCUCCUCUGGACCCUCUCCAACAGCUCUCUGUCUUUCUUGUACUGGGAGCUCCAGACCUGGACACUGAAAUACAUUCUGUCCCGGAUGAUUUUGUGCUGCUCGGAGUCCUUAUGACACUCAGUCUUUGUCUCAUGAUAGUUGGAACAAGCGGGCUCUGUGCAUCCCGAUAUCCUGCACGUGAUGAAGGUACUGGGAUCGUUUAAGCCGGCACAGAGCUGAGCUGCUCAUGUGUCAUUUAUCUUCAAAUCCUAUAUUGUAGCACUCGUGAGAUGUAAUUUCUGCAGUGAAUGGCAAUGUAUGCUGACAGAGGUGUUAUAAAACACGGAAAAUACAGAGGGAAGGGACCGGCGUUUCCUUUAUCUCCUCCUGUAUGCGCUGAUGUGGAUUUAUUUUGCAGGGUGCAGGUCAGUGAUGCAGCUCUCUGAUUGCUCUGUAGCCCUGUGAAGCAAAACCCGCCUGCAACAGGUGUUCGGUUGGCAGAAGAGCAUCAUCCUUCAAAUUCCAAGUUUUAUUUAAAAAGCUGGACUUGGCUUUAUUAAACCAUUUGCAAUUUAACAGUGAGAAGGUUCGUAUGGAAGCAUCGUGCCACCGAAAUCGUCCAUGCCAGCAGGGAUAUUUCAACCGAGAGCAUCCCUAUCCCUCCUGCUGCCAUCCAACCUCUCUGCAUCCAGCUGGACCACACUGAGCUUUGGCUUUCAGCUCUUACCUGUGGCCUUGUGCUUUCUGACACACGUGUAGAAGGACCAAUAAAACAUGUCCCAGAG